UGAAAAUCAUUAAGGACAACAGGAGGGAAGGAGUCGUGUUUAAGAUUCCUUGGAAACAAACACACAUAAAACCAAUGACUGAUCACAUCCUUCACAAAUGUCAACCCACAGCAGUUAAGACGUUUUAAUAUUGAGAUUGUGUCUGAGCUGUCAUAUGACUAACUGAGGAAAAGGAGGUUCAGACCAGCGCAGUCACAAGUGUGGUCUCAUCUUCAUUUACCACAUGUAGAUGUCUCAAACCAGCACACCAAAAAUUCAGGUGGACGUGCGUGCGCAGGUGAGUGUGAAGCACUUGGACGCUCUGAGAGGACGCAUGGCUAAUUUGUGUCGGCCUCGCGCCAGCUGGGUCCACUUCCCAGCUCCGCCUCACGCCAGGUUUCCCCUUUCAUGUCGGCUGUCUCUCCCGAUCACAGAGAGAUUAAUAUCAAGUGAUUGGCAGUCAUGUUCUCACUUAGCACUCCAGUCAUGGUGCCCCAGGGUCUCUGCCGGUCGUAAAGCAAUGGUGAAAGUGCCAUUGUGGCUUUCGCUGUCAUUUAGCCAGUACCCAGCCUCAGCAGACAGAGGAUGAAAAGUGCCAACGGCUGCAUUGAAUUAUGAGCCCAACUCAGCCGCGGCCAUAUACACAACCCAGCACAGGGAGCCAUUUCCUGCUGAAAUGCCUCUUGCUGCAGA